CCUACGGGUGACAGCAGUGAGGAAUAUUGGUCAAUGGGCGGAAGCCUGAACCAGCCAAGUCGCGUGAGGGAUUAAGGCCCUGCGGGUCGUAAACCUCUUUUGCCGGGGAGCAGUGGUCCGGACGCGUCCGGACCGGGAGAGUACCCGGAGAAAAAGCAUCGGCUAACUCCGUGCCAGCAGCCGCGGUCAUACGGAGGAUGCGAGCGGUAUCCGGAUUUAUUGGGUUUACGGGGUGCGUAGGCGGGCAUUUAAGCCGGCGGGCAAAUGUCGGGGCCCAACCCCGCGCGGCCGUCGGAACUGGGUGCCUUGAGUGGGCGAGAAGUAUGCGGAAUGCGUGGUGUAGCGGUGAAAUGCAGAGAUAUCACGCAGAACCCCGAUUGCGAAGGCAGCAUACCGGCGCCCGACUGACGCUGAGGCACGAAAGUGCGGGUAUCGAACAGGAUUAGAUACCCCUGUAGUC
rnacentral:rRNA from 1 species